UUUGAGGAUGUAUUAUACCUAUAGAAAGAGAGAAGACAGAAUACUGGGUUAAUUCUGCUCUCAAUUCAGUAAUGGAAAUCAGUUUUCCAAGGAAAACAGAAAACAUGAUGAGAAAUAAUCAACUGUUGAUCCUUGCUCCCAACCUUGAGAAGGCUGAUUGUUCAGAAUGUCUCAAGUAACAGCGGUUAUCUUGAACAGUCCUCUCAAUUCCUGAACUCCUCUAAAUCUCUUUAAGCUAAGCUUCUUGUUUGGUUUUUUAGAUUCAUCAGUCACAAUAUUGUAAAUUUCUGAUAUAUUUGCAACUUCUCUAGUACACUCAGAUACUCUACAAUCAAUCCAAGGACUAGACAUGUUAGAAGUGACAUCCUUGUGUUUGCUGAAUAGGCAUUCACCAGUGGUCUUGAAUUGUCCCUUAUCAACUUGAUUAUUAUUUGUAUUGCAAUCUAUUUCCAGCAAUGACAGUUGUUCUGCACCUUGAAGUCC
rnacentral:lncRNA from 1 species